UUAGUUAUGGCUAAAGCUAAGACAGCACUGUUGAAUGAGUACCCAGAAAUGCUGAGCAAUGAAUUCAAGGUUGCAAUAUGUUAUUUGGUAAGAAGGAUGUGGAAUUUGCAUGCCUUGACUCACAACCCUGAAACUACUGAGUAAAGUUUAUCUCAGGCACUCAAGGUUAUAUUUUCAUUGCUAAUUUUUCUUCAUCUUUACAGAGCUGAAGGCCUACUGUCAAACCUGCUGCCCAACCAUGCCAUAAAGCUCUGUCUUCCAAGCACAUUUCCCAACUUCAGGUACCAUAAUGUUCCCGGUAGAAUGCUCUUCUUGCUCUUUAAUUCAAGGUAAUGAUGUUGCUGCAUCUUCUCUUGACACUUAAAAUGCAGUUUAAUGCCACAUCAUCAGUCAAAACUUCCGUGUGAUUUCCAAAGACAUUAAAUUAUCAGAAAAACUGAACUGAGAAAUUAACAUUUCUAAUGCAUUAGAACUUUUCUGGGCUUUUUAAGGGAGUUUUCCCCCUCUGCUCAGGAUUGUGGAACAAAGAAAACUUUCAUACCAUGUCAGAAAAUCUCUUUCCAUGAAUUUCUGCUCUGAUUUUCAUAGAAAGUAUGCAUAUCAAACAAUCUGAUUGUGCUCCAUUGGAGUUACUUACAUGGAAUAAUUUUUACAAGUGUCUCUGACAUCUUUCACUUACUUUAAAUCAGUGACUCUGACAACAUAGUGCAUAUAUUAACUUACUUACACCCUUCUGCAAUAAAUUGUUUUGGUAUAAAAAAA